AUUGAACGCUGGCGGCAGGCCUAACACAUGCAAGUCGAACGGUAACAGGAAGAAGCUUGCUUCUUUGCUGACGAGUGGCGGACGGGUGAGUAAUGUCUGGGAAACUGCCUGAUGGAGGGGGAUAACUACUGGAAACGGUAGCUAAUACCGCAUAACGUCGCAAGACCAAAGAGGGGGACCUUCAGGCCUCUUGCCAUCGGAUGUGCCCAGAUGGGAUUAGCUAGUAGGUGGGGUAACGGCUCACCUAGGCGACGAUCCCUAGCUGGUCUGAGAGGAUGACCAGCCACACUGGAACUGAGACACGGUCCAGACUCCUACGGGAGGCAGCAGUGGGGAAUAUUGCACAAUGGGCGCAAGCCUGAUGCAGCCAUGCCGCGUGUAUGAAGAAGGCCUUCGGGUUGUAAAGUACUUUCAGCGGGGAGGAAGGGAGUAAAGUUAAUACCUUGACUCAUUGACGUUACCCGCAGAAGAAGCACCGGCUAACUCCGUG
rnacentral:rRNA from 1 species